GGUGAACGCUGGCGGCGUGCCUAAUACAUGCAAGUCGAGCGAACGGACGAGAAGCUUGCUUUUCUGAUGUUAGCGGCGGACGGGUGAGUAACACGUGGAUAACCUACCUAUAAGACUGGGAUAACUUCGGGAAACCGGAGCUAAUACCGGAUAAUAUUUUGAACCGCAUGGUUCAAAAGUGAAAGACGGUCUUGCUGUCACUUAUAGAUGGAUCCGCGCUGCAUGAGCUAGUUGGUAAGGUAACGGCUUACCAAGGCAACGAUGCAUAGCCGACGUGAGAGGGUGAUCGGCCACACUGGAACUGAGACACGGUCCAGACUCCUACGGGAGGCAGCAGUAGGGAAUCUUCCGCAAUGGGCGAAAGCCUGACGGAGCAACGCCGCGUGAGUGAUGAAGGUCUUCGGAUCGUAAAACUCUGUUAUUAGGGAAGAACAUAUGUGUAAGUAACUGUGCACAUCUUGACGGUACCUAAUCAGAAAGCCACGGCUAACUACGUG
rnacentral:rRNA from 1 species